UUCUAUACACCAAAACUGCUUAAGUAAUCUAAAGUUGUUUCGGUGACUAUAGUAUCCCCUUAAAUAAAAAUGUAUUUUGUAUUCACCUUGGAUUCUCUAUCUAGCGAAUAACUCGUAUAAUAUGCAUUGACUUAUGGAAUCCUAUUAAAAACACAUCUAGACACUGAACACGCAGCCAGUUGAUGGGUCUGAUUUGGAUUUCAUGUGUUAAGUACUACAGUUUACCAUGAAUUAUCUUUAUAGCCGAGAAAGCUCAGCAUAUGUUUCAGAACUAAAAGUCUUAGGAUGCUUUGCCAUCAGUCUCAUUGGAC